rnacentral:rRNA from 1 species
GAUGAACGCUGGCGGCGUGCCUAAUACAUGCAAGUCGAGCGAACGGACGAGAAGCUUUCUUCUCUGAUGUUAGCGGCGGACGGGUGAGUAACACGUGGAUAACCUACCUAUAAGACUGGGAUAACUUCGGGAAACCGGAGCUAAUACCGGAUAAUAUUUUGAACCGCAUGGUUCAAAAGUGAAAGACGGUCUUGCUGUCACUUAUAGAUGGAUCCGCGCUGCAUUAGCUAGUUGGUAAGGUAACGGCUUACCAAGGCAACGAUGCAUAGCCGACCUGAGAGGGUGAUCGGACACACUGGAACUGAGCCACGGUCCAGACUCCUACGGGAGGCAGCAGUAGGGAAUCUUCCGCAAUGGGCGAAAGCCUGACGGGGCAACGCCGCGUGAGUGAUGAAGGUCUUCGGAUCGUAAAACUCUGUUAUUAGGGAAGAACAUAUGUGUAAGUAACUGUGCACAUCUUGACGGUACCUAAUCAGAAAGCCACGGCUAACUACGUG